rnacentral:rRNA from 1 species
UACGUAGGGUGCAAGCGUUAAUCGGAAUUACUGGGGCGUAAAGCGUGCGCAGGCGGUUUUGUAAGUCUGUCGUGAAAUCCCCGGGCUCAACCUGGGAAUUGCGAUGGAGACUGCAAGGCUAGAAUCUGGCAGAGGGGGGUAGAAUUCCACGUGUAGCAGUGAAAUGCGUAGAGAUGUGGAGGAACACCGAUGGCGAAGGCAGCCCCCUGGGUCAAGAUUGACGCUCAUGCACGAAAGCGUGGGGAGCAAACGAGG